UAGUGGUUAGAGUGUAGAGGUGGCAGGUAGUCUAGUGGUUAGAGUGUAGAGGUGGCAGGUAGCCUAGUGGUUAGAGUGUAGAGGAGGCAGGGUAGCCUAGUGGUUAGAGUGUAGAGGCGGCAGGUAGCCUAGUGGUUAGAGUGUAGAGGUGGCAGGGUAGCCUAGUGGUUAGAGUGUAGAGGUGGCAGGUAGCCUAGUGGUUAGAGUGUAGAGGUGGCAGGUAGCCUAGUGGUUAGAGCGUAGAGGCGGCAGGUAGCCUAGUGGUUAGAGCGUAGAGGUGGCAGGUAGCCUAGUGGUUAGAGUGUAGAGGUGGCAGGGUGGCCUAGUGGUUAGAGUGUAGAGGUGGCAGGGUAGCCUAGUGGUUAGAGUGUAGAGGCGGCAGGUAGCCUAGUGGUUAGAGUGUAGAGGCGGCAGGGUAGCCUAGUGGUUAGAGUGUAGAGGCGGCAGGGUAGCCUAGUGGUUAGAGUGUAGAGGUGGCAGGUAGCCUAGUGGUUAGAGUGUAGAGGUGGCAGGUAGCCUAGUGGUUAGAGUGUAGAGGCGGCAGGUAGCCUAGUGGUUAGAGUGUAGAGGCGGCAGGUAGCCUAGUGGUUAGAGUGUAGAGGUGGCAGGGUAGCCUAGUGGUUAGAGUGUAGAGGCGGCAGGUAGCCUAGUGGUUAGAGUGUAGAGGCGGCAGGGUAGCCUAGUGGUUAGAGUGUAGAGGCGGCAGGGUAGCCUAGUGGUUAGAGUGUAGAGGUGGCAGGUAGCCUAGUGGUUAGAGUGUAGAGGUGGCAGGUAGCCUAGUGGUUAGAGUGUAGAGGCGGCAGGGUAGCCUAGUGGUUAGAGUGUAGAGGCGGCAGGUAGCCUAGUGGUUAGAGUGUAGAGGAGGCAGGUAGCCUAGUGGUUAGAGUGUAGAGGUGGCAGGUAGCCUAGUGGUUAGAGUGUAGAGGUGGCAGGUAGCCUAGUGGUUAGAGUGUAGAGGCGGCAGGGUAGCCUAGUGGUUAGAGUGUAGAGGUGGCAGGGUAGCCUAGUGGUUAGAGUGUAGAGGAGGCAGGGUAGCCUAGUGGUUAGAGUGUAGAGGUGGCAGGUAGCCUAGUGGUUAGAGUGUAGAGGUGGCAGGUAGCCUAGUGGUUAGAGUGUAGAGGUGGCAGGUAGCCUAGUGGUUAGAGUGUAGAGGUGGCAGGGUAGCCUAGUGGUUAGAGUGUAGGGGUGGCAGGGUGGCCUAGUGGUUAGAGUGUAGAGGUGGCAGGUAGCCUAGUGGUUAGAGUGUAGAGGCGGCAGGGUAGCCUAGUGGUUAGAGUGUAGAGGUGGCAGGUAGCCUAGUGGUUAGAGUGUAGAGGUGGCAGGUAGCCUAGUGGUUAGAGUGUAGAGGUGGCAGGUAGCCUAGUGGUUAGAGUGUAGAGGUGGCAGGUAGCCUAGUGGUUAGAGUGUAGAGGUGGCAGGUAGCCUAGUGGUUAGAGUGUAGAGGUGGCAGGUAGCCUAGUGGUUAGAGUGUAGAGGUGGCAGGUAGCCUAGUGGUUAGAGUGUAGAGGUGGCAGGUCGCCUAGUGGUUAGAGCGUAGAGGAGGCAGGGU